rnacentral:misc_RNA from 1 species
GAUUGAAUUUGCAAUAACCUGUAAGACAUGAAAUUUUCAUGUUAAUUAAAAAUUGAAAGGAUAAAUCAACUUGAAUAAGAAACUCAGAAAGGUGAUGUAAAAGAGUCAAGCUACUAGUCUGCCUUGCAAAAUAUUGAAAUUCAAAAUGGCUUCAACUGAAUUGAGUAGCUCGAGUAAUGAGUCACGUUGAGUUUGAGAAAUACUUACUCAAGUAGCUCAUAAGUCCAAUUGACUAAGUUUUGUUUAGACAACUUUAAAUACAUUUACUACAUAAGUCA